UACAGAGGUCUCAAGCGUUGUUCGGAUUCAUUGGGCGUAAAGGGUGCGUAGGCGGCGCGGUAAGUCGGGUGUGAAAUCUCGGAGCUUAACUCCGAAACUGCAUUCGAUACUGCCGUGCUUGAGGACUGGAGAGGAGACUGGAAUUUACGGUGUAGCGGUGAAAUGCGCAGAUAUCGGGAAGAACACCCGUGGCGAAGGCGGCUCACUGGUCCGGUACUGACGCUGAUGUGCGAAAGCGUGGGGAGCAAACAGG
rnacentral:rRNA from 1 species